AUAGUAUAAUCUGAAAUUAUCUUUAUAUAAUCUGUUCCACGUACAAUAAUAAAUUUUAACUAGCACUAGCAUUAAUUAUAGAGUUAAUAACAGUAAUCUCAGCCUCUUCAUAUAUAAUCUGUUUCCUAGUAACAAGUUUCACAUGAUCACUAGAACUCAACUAAUUAGCAAUACUCAACAUGAAGACUACUGAAUCAAUGAUUAUAACCAUCUUCUUCCUGGUUUUCUCUCCAUGCUUUAACUUUGGUGACUCUUCACUUGAAGACUCCCUAUCAAUAAAAGUGAAGGAGAUUGAUGUUCUAACUCAAGAUAAAUUUGGUAGCUCAUUUCGUCCAAUGGUGCAUCAUAGGAGACUCUUAGAAUAUUGUCCUUGGUGGUGCUGGCCACCAGUACUCUGCUGUAAAUCUAAUGUUGUUAAAAAGCCUUAGUUUGAGAUAGG
rnacentral:lncRNA from 1 species